CAUAGAGUGGCGAACGGGUGAGUAACACGUGGGAACGUACCCUCUGCAGGGGGAUAACUGACCGAAAGGACAGCUAAUACCGCAUAAGACCGAGAGGAGAAAGGUGCAACAGCAUCGGCAGAGGAGCGGCCCGCGGACCAUCAGCUAGUUGGUGGGGUAAGAGCCUACCAAGGCAACGACGGAUAGCCGGCGUGAGAGCGUGGCCGGCCACAAGGACACUGAGAUACGGGUCCUACUCCUACGGGAGGCAGCAGUGCGGAAUUUUAGAUAAUGGAGGCAACUCUGAUCUAGCGACGCCGCGUGCAGGAAGAAGGUCUUCGGAUUGUAAACUGCUGUGGUAAGGGAAAAAUGCCAUGUAGAGUGGAAAGCUACAUGGAGGGAUGGUACUUUACUAGAAAGCCCCGGCUAACUACGUGCCAGCAGCCGCGGUAAUACGUAGGGGGCAAGCGUUACCCGGAAUCACUGGGCGUAAAGGGAGCGUAGGUGGCCUGACAUGUCGACUGUGAAAACCCGGAGCUCAACUCCGGACUUGCAGUUGAAACUGCCAGGCUUGAGGACGGUAGAGGAAGACGGAACUGCCAGUGUAGGGGUAAAAUCCUU
rnacentral:rRNA from 1 species